rnacentral:tmRNA from 1 species
GGGGGUGUAAUGGCUUCGACAUUAUACUAGAAGCAUGAAUAGCGAGUAGUGGAUUCUCGUUGGCCACUUAAAAAAACGGGAAAAUAAAAAUAAACGCUGAUAAUCAAGAAUUAGCAUUUGCUGCCUAAUUGCGGCAACGUCUUAUUAAAUGUCCCACACAUUUAAAUAAGGCGCAAUAUUAGUGGGAAACAAAGCUACUUUUGCUUUAGAAGUAGUGGGUAAUUAAGUAAAGCUAUAUUUAAAUUAAACGUGUUUGUUCGUGUAAUUUAAAUGAAAAUAAAUAACAAACUGCACUCGGAGAAAUUUGUGUGGAAAGUAUUAUGGACAGGAGUUCGAUUCUCCUCACCUCCACCA